GACGAACGCUGGCGGCGUGCUUAACACAUGCAAGUCGAACGGAAAGGCCCUGCUUUUGUGGGGUGCUCGAGUGGCGAACGGGUGAGUAACACGUGAGUAACCUGCCCUUGACUUUGGGAUAACUUCAGGUAACUGGGGCUAAUACCGGAUAGGAGCUCCUGCUGCAUGGUGGGGGUUGGAAAGUUUCGGCGGUUGGGGAUGGACUCGCGGCUUAUCAGCUUGUUGGUGGGGUAGUGGCUUACCAAGGCUUUGACGGGUAGCCGGCCUGAGAGGGUGACCGGCCACAAUGGGACUGAGAGAGGGCCCAGACUCCUACGGGAGGCAGCAGUGGGGAAUAUUGCACAAUGGGCGGAAGCCUGAUGCAGCAACGCCGCGUGCGGGAUGACGGCCUUCGGGUUGUAAACCGCUUUCGCCUGUGACGAAGCGUGAGUGACGGUAAUGGGUAAAGAAGCACCGGCUAACUACGUG
rnacentral:rRNA from 1 species